rnacentral:rRNA from 1 species
UGGAGAGUUUGAUCCUGGCUCAGAUUGAACGCUGGCGGCAGGCCUAACACAUGCAAGUCGAGCGGAAACGAGUUAUCUGAACCUUCGGGGAACGAUAACGGCGUCGAGCGGCGGACGGGUGAGUAAUGCCUAGGAAAUUGCCCUGAUGUGGGGGAUAACCAUUGGAAACGAUGGCUAAUACCGCAUAAUACCUACGGGUCAAAGAGGGGGACCUUCGGGCCUCUCGCGUCAGGAUAUGCCUAGGUGGGAUUAGCUAGUUGGUGAGGUAAUGGCUCACCAAGGCGACGAUCCCUAGCUGGUCUGAGAGGAUGAUCAGCCACACUGGAACUGAGACACGGUCCAGACUCCUACGGGAGGCAGCAGUGGGGAAUAUUGCACAAUGGGCGCAAGCCUGAUGCAGCCAUGCCGCGUGUGUGAAGAAGGCCUUCGGGUUGUAAAGCACUUUCAGUCGUGAGGAAGGUAGUGUAGUUAAUAGCUGCAUUAUUUGACGUUAGCGACAGAAGAAGCACCGGCUAACUCCGUGCCAGCAGCCGCGGGUAAUA